CCCCCUUCCCGGUCCUGCGAGGCCUUUCCACCUAGGCACAGGCCUGGCCUUCGCGGAGCAUCACCGGCUGCAGCGAAUCCGGCUUCCUUCCCGCGACAGCCCGCAGUCAAGUGUCAGAAUGGGCAGCACAGUGACGGAUGCCAAAUAGGAGCAGUGACCGGAGAGGAAUGUUUGGAGAAUGACACCAGAGAUCCGGAAAGAUCCGUCCCUCUGGGACAGGAGCCUUACACAGAGAGAGAAGAGAAGAAUUCGGGCAAAGGUUGGAGGAGUGAGGCCCCAGGAUCCAAGGCAGGGACACCUGCGGGGGAGUUGGGCGGGGGGAUGGAGGGGACUUCAGCACCCCACUGAGGAACUAGGACUUUUCUUGGAGAUUGUUUCUCAAGGGAAAGUGGGGCGGCACCCCUGCUUCCAGAGGCAUUUGAUGAUGCGCAAGGAAAUCCAGAAGUCAUGAAAUAAACGUGACUUAGCUUUCUUGAGUUUGCAGGAGAGCACAUAAAUAAUGGAUAUUUUACGGAACCUGUAAUGCAAAAUCCCCAUGCACUUAAAGCUGAAAUAGACUUCCAUUCUGUUUGACGGUGGCGGGCUACUUCAGGGUGUGUCCUCAGGCCCGGGGACACCAUUCUGCCCACUGUGCCCUGAUAGCGUGUCUGUGCAAGUGCAGGCAAAGCCCUGGGAAGUCUUGGGGGGAGAGGGGGUUGGGAAGGCUUUCUCGGCAGGAGAGGAGGUCACGUGGCAUUUCACAAAGCUCACUCCUGCUGUGCCAGUAGGGGGAAUGGAUGGAUGGCCUCAGGGGCCUGGGGCCAGAGAGAAAGAGUCCUCAGGUCUGAUUCCCUGGAGAGCAUCUCAGUGCUUUGCAAAAGUUAUCUCUAAGUCCUACCACAACUGGAAAGGGGGAUUCUAUUCGUUUUACAGUUUUACGGAGGAAGAAACUAAAGCUGAGAAGGACAAAGAGACCUUCCCAAGGUCAUGCAGCUAGUAAGUGGCUGUCUCAGAACCACACCAGCCAGACUCCAGAAAUCCCGUUGCCCAGGCCCAAAGUAUCACUACUGACCAUCUCCUCCUCCCUGGAAAUCUCAAUCAACACUGUCAUGGGGUCAACCUCAGAGAGGAAAGAGUGUCCCCUGCUUCUGCUCAGUGUCCAGGAGUAUCCCGAACAGAAGGUAGGGCCCUCUGACAAUGUCAGCCACCAGACCAGGCUCCAAGAAGUGGCCAAGCUCCAAGAGGAUGGGUGAGAAACACUCUGAAAAGUGCUCAACCAACCGCUGAUGACUCCCCGGAAGGCUUGCCUUCCUGCCUGGGUUGGGCCUUUGGGUCAGGAUCUCACCAGGCACAGUGACCAUUUGGGGACAUUUCCUCUUGUCUCCUGUAUACAGAUCAUCGUGGGGGCAUGCGCCCCGCCCAUCUCAGGGCUAUGUGUUCUUUGGCUAGCAAAGAAAGGGGAACCCAAACAUCAAAGCUGGCCAUUAACAAAAAUGUUAUGUUGUAGACUUGUACCAAGGCCCUGGCUCAAGUGUUCAUAUUAUUUUUUUCCAAUGUUUAUUUUGAGAGAGAGAGAGCGCGCGUGCACAUGACCAUGCACCCACUCAAGGGAGGGGCAGAAGGAGAGGGAAAGAGAGAAUUCCAAGCAGGGUCCCUGCCGCCAGGAUGGAGCUUGACAUGGGGCUGGAUCCCACGAACCGUGAGAUCAUGACCUCAGCUGAAGUCAGGAAUCUGAUGCUUAACCGACUGAGCCACCCAGGCUCCCCUCAUGUGUCCAUAUUCUUAAUUCAGCAGUUCUCAUAGCUCUCUGGGGCCCAUUGGGAAUCCCUAAGACCCUUUCAGGAGGUCCUGAGGUCAAACAUAUUUUCACAAAAACACUAAGAUAUUAUUUGUCUUUUUCAGUCUCAUCCUUGCACGAGUGUGCAGGGGAGUUCUCCAGAGCCCGUAUGACAUGUGACAUAGCAAGAAACCAAACGCAGAAGCAAAUAGAAGAACCUAGCUCUCUUCUGCUGAGCCAUCGUUUGCAAAAGUGCAAAACACCCUUUUUAUGAACUUUUUUGUUUUAAAAAAUCUAGUUUUCAUUAAAAUGUGUUAAUAUGGGUUUAUUGUUGCUAUUUAAAAAAAUUUUUUUUAAUGUUUAUUUAUUUUUGAGAGAGGGAGACAGAGCAUGAGCGGGGGAGGGGCAGAGAGAGAGGGAGACAGAAUCCAAAGCAGGCUCCAGGCCCUGAGCUGUCAGCACAGAGUCCAUCACGGGGCUUGAACUCACAAGCUGUGAGAUCAUGACCUGAGCUGAAAUUGGAUGCUCAACUGACUGAGCCACCCAGGCGCCCCUAUUGUCGCCAUUUUAAGUGAAGUAAUGCAUAGUUUUAAAAUUCUCAGCUUUACUUUCUAAUACAGUAUAGAUCAAGAGAUACAACCCACGCCAACACCCUGGAUCCUUAAUCAUUUCUAAGAGCGUAAAGUUGUAUAGAGUAUAAAGGGACAAAACGUUCAGUCUGGCUGGAGACACUCUCACACAAGCCUGGCUGCUGCUGCCUCCACCCGCAGGGGCCGGCCACAGCCUGGCGUUUCUCCUCAGGGCACACAAGGUGGACCCACUGGCCAGAAACAAGGAGAAAACCCAGGCGGGAGACCGUUGCAGGGAUGAUGUUGCUGCCUCCAAGACCCAGUUGACAUUACACUGUAGUAACACAGGGGGGCGCCCUUACCAAUCAGCAGAGCUGGAUGCCAGGAUUACCAAUAGGAGUUUUACUGAUGGAUUUAAACAAAUUUAGUCUGUCAGCGAUGAUGUAAUGUUUACCUCUCUUGUGUUUCCCUUGCUCAGUGUGUGCUCCAGUAAAUUUGCACGGCCUUCUUGUUUAUCAGCUCUGCACUGGUAAAUGGUGCUCUGGCCCCUCACGAGAGCCUCAAGAAGGCAUGACGUCAUGCAUGGGACGCUGAGCCUCCUGAAGCGGCCACUGAAACUCCAGCCUCCCGUGGAGUCCUGGUUUGAGGAAGACCACCAUGAGACAUGUGAACAAAGGACAGGCUCCAUGGUGCACCUGGACCUUCUGGACCCUCCGCUCUGGGGCUUCCAGCUGUGCCAGAUAUCCCUGCACCAGGAAUGUUGCACAGAAAGCACAGAGCCACCUGACUCUAAGGGUCCACGCCAGGCUGCUUCAGUCAGUAGGUGUCCACGUGGUAAAGAGGCGGGCCUAGUGACUACGUCAGAAGGAAGCUCCGGAAGUUUCCACACGGUUCUAGUAGGGGCGUGAGAGCCCUUGGGGUAGAUUAAAGUUGAUUUGGAAGAAUUAAAGGUCUAUGAGUCAGUAGAGCCAUUCAAACCAACGUAUGUCUCAGGGCUUACUGGAGUUGAGUAUACAUGGGUUGGGCUCUGGGUGGAGAGGACCUUUGUUCCUAGAGUGGCCGUGUCCAAGACGAUGGCCAGGCCAGACCAGAUGCUGGGUGCCCAGAGGUGGAAAGGGAAAGAAAUUACCAUGAAUGGUUUAAACUAAUGAGAUUCAUCUCUUGAGGAUGGGAAGGGGUCCUUGUGUUCAUGGCUGCCUGAUAUCUGACCAAGAAAGGUGGACAGAGAAGGCUGUUGGGUAGGAAGCUACUAGUGUCCGCUCAUACCCGCUUCCAUGAGUUCUACCUUGAGUAUUUCUGAAGCCUGUUGUAUAUUGCCGUUUAGUCUGAAAGGAAGAGAGAAAGCAAAGACCCACCUGAUGUUUCUGAGUAUCAAAGUUACCUCAGGAGGAGGGAGGCGCAUGGCUAUCCUUAAGCCAGGGGCUGAUGUGUGUUGUGGCCUGCCUGCAUCACUGGUAAGAAGGGCCCAGAAAUCUUUCUGCCUGGGGGACAGAGAAGCCUUCUGGGAAAGCAUUCAAACUUAAGCCAAAGUACGUCCUUGAGAAGAGAUCACAGACACAAGUCUGAAUCAGUUAGAAUGCCCCAGCCCUCAGACGGGAGCAACAACGGAAGGUCAGCAGAGUGCCGUCACUCCGUUUUAUCCCCUUCCCAGCACCCCCAUGUCCUCAACAGUUAAAUUAAUCCCAUCGUUAAAAAAGAGUGAGCU